UAUAAGUAAUCUCUAAGCCCAACCGGUCUGGGACAACCAGGCAGAUCAAGAGUCACAUGCUCUACCGACUAAGCCAGCCAGGCACCCCAGAUUGCUAUAGAGCACACCUCUGGACCUCCGC